CCACUGUGUUGCUAAUGUUCUCUCCACCAGAGUGGUCCACUGUGACCUGCUUCAUGACCCCUGGAGGUAGCAACCCUGCACCAUCCUGUCUAGGAUUUCCCCCAGUCUCACUCCCCAGAAGAUGCUGGGCCUCCGGGGACUUCAGUGACCUCUCCUUACAACGGACAAAGUAAACAACCAGCAGCACGACAACCCCUAGUAGCCCACCUAUCAGCAGCAGCCAAGGGAGAGUGGAAGGGCUCGGUCCAGUAUCUGUUGCUAAGAGAUGAGAUUAUAUCAGAGGUGUUGGUGAACCCCUCCCGCAUCUGAACUGGCUACAUAGAGGGCACAGCAUGAUCAGA
ensembl:lncRNA